rnacentral:lncRNA from 1 species
GUGAUUUUGUCGUCUGAUGUAGUGAAUGAGCAUAGAUGGAUGGUGGCUAACAGUUGGAGAUUGAUUUGUAGGGUGGAGUCGUGGCCUCGUGGGUGAAGAGAAGUUGUAAUAUCAAAUUUGAUUUUGUUUGUUUUUCCUAUUUGGAUUUUUUUUAUUUUUAAUAUAAUGUGAUUUAUCAUUUAAGUUAGCCAUGCAAGCAUAAUUUAAAUAUUUUUAUACAAAUUGGUCAAAUUCACUAACCAAAUUAAAGGAUUUGCUAGAUUUUUCCGUUUAGAUAAUUUAGCCUAGAUUUUACAAUUUUUAAAUAAUUUGGGUAUGAUUUUGAUAUUAACCCUACUAAGAAUAUUAAACUAUCCAAAACCUUUUGAGGCACUUACUAAUAUUUAUCGAGACAAGUAAU